AGCAGUCGCCGCGGUAAUACGUAGGGUGCAAGCGUUAAUCGGAAUUACUGGGCGUAAAGCGUGCGCAGGCGGUUUGUUAAGACAGAUGUGAAAUCCCCGGGCUCAACCUGGGAACUGCAUUUGUGACUGGCAAGCUAGAGUAUGGCAGAGGGGGGUGGAAUUCCGCGUGUAGCAGUGAAAUGCGUAGAUAUGCGGAGGAACACCGAUGGCGAAGGCGGCAACCUGGUCCUUAACUGACGCUGAGGCGCGAAAGCGUGGGGAGCAAACAGGAUUAGAUACCCCCGUAGUCCCUGUCUCUUAUAC
rnacentral:rRNA from 1 species